GACGAACGCUGGCGGCGUGCUUAACACAUGCAAGUCGAGCGGUAAGGCCCUUUCGGGGGUACACGAGCGGCGAACGGGUGAGUAACACGUGGGUGACCUGCCCUCAGCUCUGGGAUAAGCCUGGGAAACCGGGUCUAAUACUGGAUAUGACUCCAUGACGCAUGUUGUGGGGUGGAAAGCCUUGUGCGGCUGAGGAUGGGCCCGCGGCCUAUCAGCUUGUUGGUGGGGUGAUGGCCUACCAAGGCGACGAUGGGUAGCCGGCCUGAGAGGGCGACCGGCCACACUGGGACUGAGACACGGCCCAGACUCCUACGGGAGGCAGCAGUGGGGAAUCUUGCGCAAUGGGCGAAAGCCUGACGCAGCGACGCCGCGUGAGGGAUGACGGCCUGGU
rnacentral:rRNA from 1 species